UAUAUCAGGGUAAGGGAUGGGGUGUUUCUGUUAUGGAAUUUCCUUAGGGGCAAUGCAUUGUUGGCUCUAGAGCCGAGGAGUUUACCUGUGUUGGCCAUAGAAAAGGCAUAGCAACCAGGCCAGCAGUGACGAGACGUGUAAUCAUCUUUGCACACAAAAAAACACCGAACUUCGUCAGUACCUGUGUCCUAGGUACAGCGUAAUUACGCCCCUUGAUGUGAUAUCUAGUACAGCUGUUCCCAAAGACGUGUCCAAAAAUGCAAGGAUGUCAGACAUAGAGCACAUGUGACAAAAACAGUCUUCGCUACGUUCCCACACUGAGUGGCAAUAAUGAAUUUCGCUUAUAGUAAAAGAACUUGAGAUCACCGAAGUGAACCCCUAAGUAAAACUCAAUUGCAGGGGCACCCUCGCAGGGUCACGGGGUCACAAAAAAAUGGUGUUUAUAUACACCUAAAUUACACUGGCUCUUGGGACAAUAAUUUGCCUAAGAGGAGUUGGGCCUGUUUUCUUCUAGGAAAUGUUACCUUCAUCACAGCUCUCUAUUCACCAUCUACUAACCAUGUCGUAACCCACAAGGAAGGCUGCUCGGGUUGGGUUGACACAUAGCUGAGGGAAGGUUUUCACGUUUCAACAUAAACACCUACAAUGUGUGACUUUUGUGGGUGCAAGCUUCACCUGAAGUUCGUGAGAUAUAGCCCGAAUGCAAAAAUUUUGUUUGGUUUAAUGAUAUUGGCUGUAGUAUUGGUGGGGUGGGGCCUGUGGGGUUUUACAAGGAAGGUGCGUAUCAACGAAAGGCGACGACAUAUCUAGGUCAAACCAAGGAGGUUACAUGAGGUCACACAGACAGAUCCUCCAGGAUGCCGAGUCAGCCAAAAAGUCGAGUGACAUGUGACCACUCAGUUCAUCAAUCUUCUAGUAUGGAAAAUAGCAAAUGCGAUUCUCAUAAGUGAUUGGUUAGCGAUAGGUCAGUGGCGGGCUUGUGGCCAAUCAGACGGUGAACCUGAAAGCAGUCAUUUCGUGGUCAGCGCUGUCUUUUCCGUCAGUCCAGAUCAAGUCGUCCGCGGUUCGAGACGGUGACACCGGAGCGGGCUGGCAGAGCCCACAGCACACAGAGGCGCAGGAAAAUGAACUCUCUGCCCUGGGAACCGGGCUAGCUGGUUGGCAAGAAUUUUUUUUCGGGGAAUCAGGCAGUUAUUCCCGUCAACCAAGAUGUCCACUCAGGGGCAUGGUGAUUUAGCAGGGAGUUCUUGUCUUGUUAGUCUCGACAACUUCCCGGAGUGCUAUUUCUCGGUCGACGGGUUACGGGAAUAACUGCCCGGGGACCCCAAGAAAAUUGCUGGUCCACCGUCCGACAAGCUGACAUGUCUCAAGGUAGCCCGCAGGUCUACAGAAGGAUUCACUGGCCAGCAAGAAUCCCAGUCGCGGAUGAAUUGGAGUACCGAUAUAUCCCAACAAAUAUCAAAUGUGACAUCAUCAUGAAAGCAAAAAUAUAA